rnacentral:misc_RNA from 1 species
GAUGAAGAACGUAGUGAAAUGCGAUAACUAGUGUGAAUUGCAGAAUUCCGUGAAUCAUCGAGUCUUUGAACGCACAUUGCGCCCCCUGGUAUUCCGGGGGGCAUGCCUGUCCGAGCGUCAUUGCUGCCCAUCAAGCACGGCUUGUGUGUUGGGUCGUCGUCCCCUCUCCGGGGGGGACGGGCCCCAAAGGCAGCGGCGGCACCGCGUCCGAUCCUCGAGCGUAUGGGGCUUUGUCACCCGCUCUGUAGGCCCGGCCGGCGCUUGCCGAACGCAAAUCAAUCUUUUUCCAGGUUGACCUCGGAUCAGGUAGGGAUACCCGCUGAACUUAAGCAUAUCAAUAAGCGGAGGA